rnacentral:rRNA from 1 species
GACGAACGCUGGCGGCGUGCUUAAUGCAUGCAAGUCGAACGAAGAACCCCCUCUGGGUAACCAAAGGGGAAUUCUUAGUGGCGAACGGGUGAGUAACACGUGAGAAACCUGCCCCGGAGAUCGGGAUAGCCCAGGGAAACCUGGAUUAAUACCGAAUACCCUCGAAUGGUCGCAUGUCCGAUCGAGGAAAUGGUCCGCCGCUCCGGGAUGGUCUCGCGUCCUAUCAGCUAGUUGGUGAGGUAACGGCUCACCAAGGCAACGACGGGUAGCUGGUCUGAGAGGACGAUCAGCCACACUGGGACUGAGACACGGCCCAGACUCCUACGGGAGGCAGCAGCAGGGAAUUUUGCACAAUGGGCGCAAGCCUGAUGCAGCGACGCCGCGUGGGGGAUGAAUGCCUUCGGGUUGUAAACCCCUUUCAGGAGGGACGAAGCGAAAGUGACGGUACCUCCAGAAGAAGCCCCGGCCAACUACGUG